AAUGAUGAGCCUGAUUAAAGGACUAUCGUGAUAGGAUAAAAUAUGUAGGCAAACCCUACCUUCAUUA
rnacentral:tRNA from 1 species